CCAGCAGAGGGCGCCAGUGGUCAUUCUUAAGCAGAGCCAGUUGCUAAAUAAAUUAAAGAUGGCCGUCUCAAUCCCAGCCCAAGAAAGAGAAACGUGCAGAUUUUACUUUUAUUUCUCCAUCGGAGCGUCGAGCAGCAGCUUGGUGUGUCAGUCCACCUGCUGAGGCGCUUCUGACCAUGAUGGACAGCAGGAAACCAGGAAACGAUGGUGGAGCUAGUGCUGUUAGCACCUCGUAUGUACCAUCUACCCAGGUUGCAUUGCAGGGAAACAUGGCUACAUGUUUUUAUUUAAAUUGAUAAAAACUUGA